UUUCUUUAACACAUCGGAAGAAAUCGGCUCAUCGCUUUCGGCAAUAAUCCUCGCCGACGCCGUUACCUGCGGUUCCACCGUUCCUCCAUCUCAGUAGACCACACUCGGUCUUCCCGUCGUGGACACACCUAUCCCCGUGUCCAUGGAGGCCUCCUCAAUGCCAGAUGAAGUGAGUGUGGAACAUUUUCCCCCUUGGCCCUCCGUCGGGUCACUUUGGGCCCGGCUGCUCGUCCGUUCCUGCCUGCGUCAUGAGGUCCGUCACGUUCCUCUCCAGCCCGUGGAUACGCGUGCCCAUCUGGAUAUGUUUGGAUUCGAGUUGUUCAGAGAUUGCUUGGAAUUUCCCCUGCAGACGGUCCAUAGUUUGCUCCAUCUGGCAAAACGAAAAACCCAACAACAAAUGGGACACAUAAUUGGUUAUUGUACUCAGGCUAUGCAGUGUGCAUGCAAACAAACUUACAGUUUCGGUCAUCCCUUAGUGUCUCUUGUUCUGUGUUAGACAUUUGGUUAUUGUACUCAGGCUAUGCAGUGUGCAUGAAAACAGACUUACAGUUUCGGUCAUAUCCCUGAGUGUCUCGGGUUCUGUGUUAGACAUUGUUGACAUCGGUGAUCAUGGAGUCUAUUAGCACUGGGAAUGUUGCAAAGUUUUCUGGUAGCCGCAUACGAGCAAAGGGGCAGAGCCACCGAAAUGUCCACGGUGGGACGGGUGGAACAGACUCAACCGCAAAACUUAAUCCUUCCCCCCAGACGUCGAUUGAAGAUAAUCUA